rnacentral:snRNA from 1 species
AGUCAAAUUGAAAUACUAGUCUUCAAAAUUGGAACAAUACAGAGAAGAUUAGCAUAGCCCUUGUGCAAGGAUGACAUACACAGAUUGAGAAACGGUCCAAUUUCUU